UUCCUCGUGGUCGCGCACCCGGCUCACCUCACCAACAAAGCGCGGUUUCCUCCCCUCGCCAUUCUUCCUCAUGGUCGUGCACCCGGCUCACCUCAACAACAAGACGCGGUUUCCCCCCUCGCGAUCCUUCCUCGUGGUCGCGCACCCGGUUGGAUUUCACAGUCAUGGAAGUUCUGCUUUAAAAUCCGUUUCUAAAGAAGUGUUAAUGAUCUUGACACUGCUGACCAGGGACAAAAUGUCCCAUUGACAGUCACGCUCUGGAGCGGGAUGGGCAGUGAGAGACCAGAGACCACAGGAUGGGGAAAAAAUAGCCCAGCUCAGGCUACUGGGUUGAAGAACUGCCAGAGCUUGAUCGCCGACGUGCAGAUUUCUGAUCUACGUUUAAUGAGGAAGCUGACUGUUCUGUAUCUAACGUUUUAUUUAGAGUCUGUGAAGUAGCUUAGGCCAAUUACUCAUAGCUGCCUGCCCCUCCUCAGUUACCUGGACAUAUGUCUUGUGUCCUGGAAUCAAAACUAAUUCUGAAUGCAUAUCCUGAAAACAUGGGACACUUACUCAGAUUUCACUCUUGGGUGUCAUCGGCCUUUUAAUUAUUUUCUAUCAAUAGACCGACCUUAGAUUUACUUGUCAAAAAAAGUAAGGUCAUUUUAUGACCACUUUCAUUCCAAUUUCCUAGAUGUCUUUUCAGAUUAGAAAAACUUAUAGACUAUGUAGCUUCGAAUUUAUAGAAUCAUUAUUCCUGAAGGUUUUGCUGUCCUUCGCGCCCAGAGAUGGUCCCGCUGACCCAGAUGGCAGAGCCUGUGAUCACAGCUCCAGGGGCCCUCAAUUCAUUUGUUUCCCUGUGUCUCCAUCUCCCCAUGUUAUCUUGUCACCCCACAAAGCUCCUGCAUGCAACCCGGUC
rnacentral:lncRNA from 1 species